rnacentral:rRNA from 1 species
UACAGAGGGGGCAAGCGUUGUUCGGAAUUACUGAGCGUAAAGGGCGCGUAGGCGGCCGCCUAAGUCAGACGUGAAAUCCCUCGGCUCAACCGGGGAACUGCGUCUGAUACUGGGUGGCUUGAAUCCGGGAGAGGGAUGCGGAAUUCCAGGUGUAGCGGUGAAAUGCGUAGAUAUCUGGAGGAACACCGGUGGCGAAGGCGGCAUCCUGGACCGGCAUUGACGCUGAGGCGCGAAAGCCAGGGGAGCAAACGGG